UGCCAGGCACAGCUGUGAUCCACCCCUUCUCACCCACACCCUCAUUUAAGGGUUAGUAGCCAAGGGAGCAGCACCUUUCUGGAUGGAGAUUGUACUCCUCUUGGGUUGCUAUCAGUCUUCUGAAGAGAUAAAAGCAGAUAGACCAAGUUUGCUUACACAGAUCCACGUUAUUUACUGGAAUGAAAAUAUAAAAAUAUUAUUUGCUUCAGAGAAUAGCCAUAGGAAGACACUUGAGCAUUAUACUAUGUACUCAAGAAAAUCUUAUAUAAGAACAAGAAGCUCUCCACUAGUGCAUCUGACAAAAUCUUUGGAAGAAAUAUGAGUUUCUUGAAGCCUGUAAUUUACACAACUCCAAACAAAUUAUGUCAAGUAUAAGAAACACGUGAAAAGCUUGGUGCUCAUUGAUUUUAUUGAAAAGGAAACCAGAAAUACAUCAUUGAAAGGAACCUGAAAGAUUGUUCUUCAUAUUUUAAGAACAUAAUGCAAGUGUGUGCAUGUUCCUUGUUGAGUACUGUUGAUUUGAAGGGGCAAUUUCCUCUUCAUCCUUAUUCCAGCCAUCUCACCUGCAUCCCUCUGGGAAAGGAAUGUAGUCCUGACCUCCUGCUUGCAUUUGGGCUGGUGGGGAGCUUCAGUCUGAGCAGAGCUCUGUGCUUUCCUAUGCAGGAUUAACACCACUGGAUCGUGAAAAGAACUCCCUGGACCCACUUUCGAAUAUCUGGUAAAUUUGCAUAUUGAGAUAUGCAUUAUGCAAUAUGAUCAUCUAGAAUUUGAAUGAUUCUGUGAGUGAUGGCUUCCAUUAGGAGUGUACGGAUCUUGCAUUUCAACCAUACUUAACCGUAUUUAAUUGAUCCAGCUUAAUGACAUCUGAACAUUUUCAUUUGUGAGAGACAGUUGUGCUUUGCACUAAAAAUGCAUUUUUUUGCCAUUUAGUAUUUUAAAUUCCAGAGGGAAGCCUUGAGUAAAGGUUGUCAUCAUUUCCAUUUCAUAGUGAGUUGAGUGAGUUACACACACACUAUUCAAUAUAGUAGUGACUAACUUCAGUUAUUAAUUCAGUUGAGAGAUUUUUAUUGUUUAUGCUUUAUUAUGAGUUUUUUUUCCUUCCAAAUUACAGUAUUUUUCAUUAGAAAUACUUUUUAAAAGUCAUAAAGGUUUUACUGUUUUACUCUGAGUCGCUUAUUUAAAUUCUGAAUUGCCACUGUCUACCUGUACUUCAUAUUAUUUUAUUAAGCUGGGGAAGCAACUCUGAAAGAUUUUUUUUCUCUUCUUUUAACAAAAGUAUAUUUUUUAAAAUCAACUUUCCAAAUAUAUUAGUUAUAUUUUUAUGAUACAGCUUAUGAUUUUAAGAACACUUCAGUUUCUCUGUAGUAUUAAAGAGCAUCCAAUUAAAUUAAGUUGACAUCAAGGAAUAUGUUGUGCUCCUGCAAAAGGAAACACUCUCACAAUUUAUAGAGAAAUCUUAAUGUCAACGAUCACUUUGCUUACGUAUUUAUCCUAAUUAUAAAACAUUUUCUUUUCUUAAGUGAGCCUUACAUAAUAUUCAAAGUGUCUGUUUUGCAUAUCAAAUUGAAAGACUUUCAUCAAUGUUGCUCUCAAACUAUAAUAUACAGAAGCAUAAAAGGGUUCUACUUAUAGAAUUAUUGCAAGUUUCAAGAUAUGUAUUUUUGGAACUUCUUUUUGUUUCCUUUAAAUAGUUAACCUUUUUAUAUAGUAAGUUGCAUUCUCUUGCCUCAGGGAUGCAUGCCUUAUUUACAGGGCAUAACAUCUAAGCUCUAUCUGUUGGUCUCUCUAUUUCUACUAUGGUUUCCAGGACAAGAAAAGUUUAGGAUACAAUGGCAGGAUGAGUUCAGAGUGGUUGCUUAAUCAAACUGUGAUGAUUGUCAGGGUUGAUAAACUAGUCAAUAGAAUUAUUGUACAAAUUUGGCAAGAUGAACUAAAUGAGUAAACUGGGUUUGAGAGAAAAAAUGGAAAUAAAUUAAAAAAACCCCAAAACCUGCUGUUCUUCAGUUGCCUAAAAAGAUAAUUAAUUUUAAAUGUAAAAUGUAAUCCACUAUUUAGUAAAUUACGUUCCACCUCACCAAAGUUAUACUCUGCUCUUUAGACUCUAUAUUAAGAAUAUGCUUUUCUUAAUUUUGCUGUGUUGUACAAGUUUUAGAUUACAGUUUCCAAAUCCUACAAGAAAGAAUUGAUUCUGAAGUACAACAUAUCACAAUAGUCUGUACUAUAGUUUCUAUUACUAUGGCUAAUUACAUGGCUCAAAAGAGUAGACCUUUAAUGAAGGCAGAACUCCUCUAUAAUCCACAAAGUAACAGAACUCCUGUAUAAUCCACAAAGUUUGCAGUGGAUAAUGGGCAUGAAGUUUAUUCCGCUUUAUUAAAACAUAUUUCACUUAAAGAAGAACUUUCAUCCUAACAGUAGCUGUGUGAGUCCAAGUCCUAAAAUGGUAAAGACUGUGAAUGGAAGAAAGUAAAUUUAGAGAUGUCCAUAGAUUUCAGCAAACCAGUAAAUUAGAGGCUAAGUCAAAGAAUUUCACAACACUUGAACUUUUGUUUUGUAUACAUACAACUGGAUUAUCUGAAGAGUAAAUUCAUAUAGAAUAGAUAUGAAUGGGGCCCUAAGACAUUGUUUAAAACUCUUUCUGGUCUUCUAACAUUUCACAAAAGAAAUAUAAGUCUACUGGUUUCGACUGUAUUUUUUGUUUGUUUGUUUUUCCCCAAAAUGUUUACUAUUGUAUA